rnacentral:rRNA from 1 species
UUGAAAAAUAAAAACAGACUGAACAAGCCUGAUCCCGUCUGAUCUCAGAAGCUAAGCAGGGUUGGGCCUGGUUAGUACUUGAAUGGGAAGACCAGGUGCUGUAGGUG